CUGGGCGAGCAUGCCUCAGUACGGCGAGUGAGCGGCAAAAGCUCAAAUUUUAAAGCUGACAUCUUCGGUGUCCGCGUUGUAAUUUUGUGAGGCAUCUCCGGGUAGGGCGCCGGCCUAAGUUCCUUGGAACAGGACGUCACAGAGGGUGAGAAUCCCGUGCUUGGCUGGCUGUCCCCGUCCAUGUGAGGUGUCUUCGACGAGUCGAGUUGUUUGGGAAUGCAGCUCAAAAUGGGUGGUAAAUUUCAUCUAAAGCUAAAUAUUGGUGGGAGACCGAUAGCGCACAAGUAGAGUGAUCGAAAGAUGAAAAGCACUUUGAAAAUAGAGUUAAAAAGUACGUGAAAUUGUUGAAAGGGAAGCGCUUGAGACCAGACUUCGGUAAGGGGUGAUCAGCCGUCCUUUUGGGCGGUGCACUUGCCCCCCUCCGGGCCAGCAUCGGUUGAGGCGGCGGGAUAAAGGUCCCGGGAAUGUGGCUCCUUCACGGGAGUGUUAUAGCCCGGGUGAAUGCCGCCAGCUUCGACCGAGGACCGCACCCGCAAGGGUUAGGAUGCUUGGCAUAAUGGUCUUCAGCGACCCGUCUUGAAACACCGGACCC
rnacentral:rRNA from 1 species